AUCGCUUCUCGGCCUUUUGGCUAAGAUCAAGUGAAGAUAAUUUAUACAAGAAACUAAUUUAAGAAUAGAAACUUAAUACUUUCUGUUGACAGUUGUGAUCAAAUUAAGCCUCUAGCCCCAUUGAAGUUUUAUCU
rnacentral:snRNA from 1 species